rnacentral:rRNA from 1 species
AACCGUUCGGGGGUAAACGGACAGAGCCCGUGAAUCCGGGCGAAUGGAAUUCAUAAUCGAUGGCGGUCGUCGUCGGUUCGAUAUUUCCACCGCCGACCCUCAACCGAGGCGGACGUCGCGAUUCGUUCGCCGUCGAUACCGAAAGGCGCGCCUCAAGUUCGUUGUCGCGGACGUUUCGGCGUGCGACGAUGGCGCGUUUCUCACGUUUCGACGCGGACGGUACGUUUGGCGCGGGUAUUCGAGGCGGUCUCGUCCGGCGUCUCGUACGUCGGACGGCACUCGCCUCGACGCCGGUCAGCGACGAAUCUUCGGGCCUCUUUCCGACCCGUCUUGAAACACGGACCAAGGAGUCUAGGGUGCGCGCGAGUCGCGGGGUAUCCGAGGAGUAAUGACCCUCGUCAAGAUACGAAACCCGUUCACGUACAUUGUACGAAGGCGUAAUGAAAGUGAAAGAGGGCGCCUCGCGCGUCCUCGGGGAAGACGGUGCGCUGCGAAUACGUUUCGCGAUCGUAUUGUAUCGCGACCAGCCACCCGCAUUCCCAGGGCGUCCCGCCUGUGCGACGGCGAUCGGGGCUCGCUCCGGUCGUCGACGAACUGGGGCGCACCUAUAGCGUGCACCCUGGUACCCGAAAGAUGGUGAACUAUGCCCGGCCAGGAUGAAGUCAGGGGAAACCCUGAUGGAGGUCCGCAGCGAUUCUGACGUGCAAAUCGAUCGUCUGAGCUGGGUAUAGGGGCGAAAGACUAAUCGAACCAUCUA